AUGAACGCUGACAGAAUGCUUAACACAUGCCAGUCUUUGGCGAAGCUGUGCUUGCACAGCCUAGCCAAGGCGGACGGGUGAGUAACGCGUAAGGAACUUGCCCUGCAGUCAGGGAUAACAGACGGAAACGACUGAUAAGACCUGGUAAAGUCAGGCGGACUCAUGUCCAGCCUGAUGAAAAGAGAUGCUGCAGGAGAGCCUUGCGUCCUAUUAGCUUGUUGGUGGGGUAACGGCCCACCAAGGCGAUGAUAGGUAGCCGGCCUGAGAGGGUGGACGGCCACAAGGGGACUGAGAUACGGCCCUUACUCCUACGGGAGGCAGCAGUGGGGAAUAUUGGACAAUGGGGGCAACCCUGAUCCAGCAAUUCUGUGUGCACGAUGAAGGUUUUCGGAUUGUAAAGUGCUUUCAGCAGGGAAGAAAAAAAUGACGGUACCUGCAGAAGAAGCGACGGCUAAAUACGUG
rnacentral:rRNA from 1 species